UACGAACUGUGCGAACGUUAUUCGGAAUCACUGGGCUUAAAGGGUGCGUAGGCGGCGAAUCAAGUCUGUUGUGAAAUCUCUCGGCUCAACCGGGAAAGUGCAGUGGAAACUGAUUUGCUAGAGUAAGACAGGGGUGUAUGGAACUUCCAGUGGAGCGGUGAAAUGUGUUGAUAUUGGAAGGAACACCGGUGGCGAAAGCGAUACACUGGGUCUUAACUGACGCUGAGGCACGAAAGCCAGGGGAGCGAACGGG
rnacentral:rRNA from 1 species